ACAGAAGGCUGUUAUAUAAGCUGAGUUUUUUCUUUAAGCAUAUUCAAUUAUCAAGCAUAACUGACCUUCAUUUGAAUGAUUUCGCUAACUUUGAUACAAUAGAAGUGAGGCGAUAUACCUUACCUCUGAAUCCAAUAUUCGAGGCGUCAGACAAGCAGGUAGAAGAGGAGAUCAACUACGGAGAGAUCGACUUUGCCAAGCGAGGUGCUGUGCAGAACCCAGGCCUGGUGUUCCCCCAGGGGGAGGAGCAGACCUCAGAGUACGUUGAGAUCACUGCUCAACAGGCUAAGAACACACAGAUCAGGGCUGAACUGGAGAGGAGCUGAAUAGUUUGGACUGGGAUCUCUUUAGUAUCCACUUAUGUCAGCAUGAACAUAUCCUGCUUAAAGUGUAAUUCCGGUGAAGCCAGGGUCUUUGUUUUGGCAUUUAAACUCAUCAAAUAAGCCCUCCAAAUACUUUUUUCAUUGAAAAUCAAGUAUAGAGUUUGCCCAGCACAAUGUUUGGCUUCCAUGUUAUUGGCUAGGGGCACAGCGAAAGCUUUCAAAUCUGCAUUUUUUAACCACUAAUCUAGCCAAAAAUAGCACCAAACCUCUGCAGUCGCAUGAUAUGGGUCCCUACACCUAAAAUGAAGCAUCAACAACUUAGUUAGUGUAGCGGGAGUUUAUCAAAAAAUAAUUUGAUUACCAGCUACCGUAGAUAAUAUAAUAGAGGCACCAACAAAUUUAACUUAAAAAUCGGAAUUGGAAAACAGUCUUUUUCAACAAACUCCCGGUACGCUAAUUAAGUUGUUGAUGCAUCGUUUUAUGUGUAGGGACCCUAAUCAUGCUACUGAAGAGGUUUGGUGCUAUUCUGAGCUAUAUUAAUGGUUUUGGAAGAUUUUCACAGUGCCCCUAACAAAUAACAUGGAGGCAAACAUUGCGCCGAGCAAACUCUAUGCUUGAUUUACAAUGAAAAAGGUAUCUGGGGGGCUUAUUUGAUGGGAUCACAUGCAAAAAAAAAAGACCCGGAAUUACACUUUAAGCAUCUAUGGCUGCGGCUGCAAAUUGUUUCUAAAACAUGGCACCCCUUAUGCUUUUUUGUCUCCAAGGCACCCUAUAAACCAAAACAAGUUUGACUCCCUGUAGGGCUAGGUGCUGUUUAUGAGGAUUAUGAGGACGAGGAUGUGAUGUGAAGGGUGACACCGAUUUGAAAGUUCAGCCAGUUACCCAAUGGGUGGAGUUUGUCCCACCCACUCAUUUGCAUUUUAAUAUUGUCUUCAUUGAAGCAAUUCAAAUGCAAAGAGAUAGCAUUUUAAUUGUAUAUCUGACUCAAAUAAUGUAUGCAUAUUAUGAACAAUAAAAAGCAUCAGUGAUAUUGCAUUUUCAUCAUCAA